UACGGAAGGCAGCAGUGGGGAAUAUUGCACAAUGGGCGAAAGCCUGAUGCAGCUAUGCCGCGUGUAUGAAGAAGGCCUUAGGGCUGUAAAGUACUUUCAUCGGGGAGGAAAAACAAAACUAAUAAUUUUAUUUCUUGACGUUACCCGAAAAAGAAGCACCGGCUAACUCCGUGCCAGCAGCCGCGGUAAUACGGAGGGUGCUAGCGUUAAUCAGAAUUACUGGGCGUAAAGAGCACGUAGGUGGUUUUUUUAAGUCAGAUGUGAAAUCCCUGGGCUUAACCUAGGAACUGCAUUUUGAAACUGAAAUACUAGAGUAUCGUAGAGGGAGGUAGAAUUCUAGGUGUAGCGGUGAAAUGCGUAGAUAUCUGGAGGAAUACCUGUGGCGAAAGCGGCCUCCUAAACGAAUACUGACACUGAGGUGCGAAAGCGUGGGGAGCAAACAGGGAUUAGAUACC
rnacentral:rRNA from 1 species